UACGAGGGGGGCGAGCGUUGUUCGGAAUUAUUGGGCGUAAAGGGUGCGUAGGCGGUUUGGUAAGUCUUAUGUGAAAUCUAUGGGCUCAACUCAUAGUCUGCAUGAGAAACUGCCGGGCUUGAGUACGGGAGAGGUGAGUGGAAUUCCUGGUGUAGCGGUGAAAUGCGUAGAUAUCGGAAGGAACACCAGUGGCGAAGGCGGCUACCUGGAACGGUACUGACGCUGAGACGCGAAAGCGUGGGGAGCAAACAGG
rnacentral:rRNA from 1 species